rnacentral:lncRNA from 1 species
GGAAGAUUGGCCAGGGCCUGAGAGAACCAGGACUCAAAGGUCCUCCCAAGGGACAGGAAUUGUUCCUCUUCUUCUCUAACUGGAUCCAUGAACCUCCUGCUUUCCCUCCUCCGUUUCUCAGCGACCUCUGCCGGUGAAGAAAGGCAGCUUAAGACUGCAACAAGGACCACACGGCAGAAGCCAGGGAGUUUCAAAUGUAAGGAAUGUCUCCAUCACCAACAAAUGACCGAGGGGUGUGCGUCAGGACAACCCCAGAAAAAGAAGUUUCAAGAGAAAUGUGGAGAGGAAUCCUUAAGUCUCAUCACUGAGAAAUCCCAGGAAAAUUAAUGGUUCUCUUCCUCGAGGUCCUGCUUUGAUGCCAACAUGAAAGGGAACUGUGUGCAUGCCAUCCGCCUAGAAAGCAACCCCUCAGCAUCACAAACAAGGUCUCAGAGGACAGGACCCUUCCGGAACCUCGCGGGAUCAUUUUUUCAUUACUUCUCCCAUCUUCUGGAAGCUCCUGAUUUUGGUGGCUUCAAGCUACAUCACCACCAUCUCUGCUCACUGGGCCUCCUUCCUCCAGUGUCUGUGUGUCAACUGUUACAUAGAGAACAAUGCUGACUGAAUGCAGAGCCUACGGCUAAAUGCUAAGCCUAAAAAGUAAAUCCUUACCCUGUAAAGACCUUUUUUCCAAUGAGGUCACAGCCUGAAGUCCCAAUAGAUGUGAAUUCGAAAG